GUGUGCAUAUCAGUGUUUAUGAUAGGUGACAAAUUUUAAAAUAAAAAUAAUGAAAAUAUGUGGGUUAACUAUGCAGUUAAACACACUUGGGCUAGAUUAGUACUGGGAUGGGUGACCUCCCGGGAAGUCCUAGUGUUGCACCCU
rnacentral:rRNA from 1 species